AUGGAGACCCGUAUGAAUGGCACAACGAGGGCUUAACUGUCUCUUCUUUCAAGUCAAUGAAAUUGAUCUCCCCGUGCAGAAGCGGGGAUACGCACAUAAGACGAGAAGACCCUGUGGAGCUUUAGGCACCAAGGCAGACUAUGUUAAGUACCCCAGACUAAUGACUAAAACAACUUAUAACCUGCCCUAAUGCC
rnacentral:rRNA from 1 species